CCAGACUCCUACGGGAGGCAGCAGUGGGGGAUAUUGCACAAUGGGGGGAACCCUGAUGCAGCGACGCCGCGUGGGUGAAGGAGUAUUUCGGUAUGUAAAGCCCUAUCGGCAGGGAAGAAGCAAGACGGUACCUGACUAAGAAGCCCCGGCUAACUACGUGCCAGCAGCCGCGGUAAUACGUAGGGGGCGAGCGUUAUCCGGAUUCACUGGGUGUAAAGGGAGCGUAGACGGCCAAGCAAGCCAGGGGUGAAAGCCCGGGGCCCAACCCCGGAACUGCUCUGGAAACUGUGCGGCUAGAGUACUGGAGGGGCAGGCGGAAUUCCUAGUGUAGCGGUGAAAUGCGUAGAUAUUAGGAGGAACACCAGUGGCGAAGGCGGCCUGCUGGACAGUAACUGACGUUGAGGCUCGAAAGCGUGGGGAGCAAACAGGAUUAGAUCCCCUAGUA
rnacentral:rRNA from 1 species